UUGGAGAUGUUUUCAGUGUGUGUGGCCUGUGAUAAACUUUUUGAUGGGUUCUGAGAGCCCCAGAAUGCCCAGAGAACAAAGGAGAGGGAGAUGGAUCAUGAGGCUCCACACUUGGGGACAUGGAGGGCAUCCAGAUCCUAAGGCACAGGUGGCUCUUUGGCCUUGGCUUAUGUCUGCUUGGGAUGCAGAUGGCCUCAGUGAUGCAAGUUGCCUGCUGCACAGAAGUGUGGACCAAGUGUUGUGGGACAGACAAGGCAAUGCUGGGAUGCUGGCCAAGGGAGUGACCUUGAAGAAUGACCACAGCUGGCUGCUUAGGAGGUGGAAAGACAGAUUUGGUCCUCUGGGAACAUCUGCUGAAGGCGAGGAAAGCAGGGAGGAGAGACUCCCAGGAGAAGAUGAGAGAGGCUGCACUUCAGGAUCCAGCUCAAACCAGUCCCUGCCAGGGCGAGGUGUUCCAUGCUUUCCAAAGCUUACCAGGUCCAUUAUCUCUGUGACCUAGAGACAGGCCUGCCAACCGGGCUUGUGUGAGGUCACUGUGCCCUGUGCGUGACGCCCUCCCUCCAAAGCCUCGUGCAUCCAUUCCUUCCCCUCCAUCGCACCUCAGCUCUGAUCAUCUCUCAAGGGUGAAGCAAUAGGUUUCUGCUCGGCUCCUGCUCCCAGCUCGUGCCCUCUAGCCGCCUGAGUGAUCAUUCUGCACUACAAAUUUGUUCAUUCUGCAGUUGGCUGAACAGCUUCCAUCAGCCGCCGGAGGGAGCAGAAUAAAAUUCUGACUUCUUUGCACCCAA